rnacentral:rRNA from 1 species
AGAGUUUGAUCCUGGCUCAGGACGAACGCUGGCGGCGCGCUUAACACAUGCAAGUCGAGCGAGAACCGGGACUUCGGUCCCGGGGACAGCGGCGAACGGGUGAGUAACACGUGGGUAACCUGCCCUCGGCACCGGGAUAGCCCGGGGAAACUCGGAUUAAUACCGGAUUGCCCCUCCGACCCUCGGGUCGGCGGGAAAAGGUAGCUUCGGCCUCCGGCCGAGGAUGGGCCCGCGGCGGAUUAGCUUGUUGGUGGGGUAACGGCCCACCAAGGCGACGAUCCGUAGCUGGUCUGAGAGGACGAUCAGCCACACUGGGACUGAGACACGGCCCAGACUCCUACGGGAGGCAGCAGUGGGGAAUCUUGCGCAAUGGGCGAAAGCCUGACGCAGCGACGCCGCGUGAGGGAAGAAGGCCUUCGGGUUGUAAACCUCUUUCAGGAGGGACGAAGCCACUCGGGUUAACAGCCCAGAGGGUGACGGUACCUCCAGAAGAAGCCCCGGCUAACUUCGUGCCAGCAGCCGCGGUAAUACGAGGGGGGCGAGCGUUGUUCGGAAUUAUUGGGCGUAAAGGGUGCGUA